ACUGGGCGUACUGGCGCAUGCCUGUAGUCCCAACUCCUCAGCAGGCUGAGGUGGGAGGAUGGCUUGAGCCCAGUUCUGGGCUGUAGUGCGCUAUGCUGAUCAGGUCUCUGCACUAAGUUUGGCAUCAAUAUGGUGACCUCCCCGGAGUGAGGGAACCACCAGGUUGCCUAAGGAGGGGUGAACUGGCCCAGGUCGGAAAUGGAGCAGGUCAAAACUCCCGGGCUGAUCAGUAGUGGGAACACACCUGUGAAUAGCCACUGCACUCCAGCCCAGGCAAAAUAGUGAGACCCUGUCUAAA
ensembl:misc_RNA Metazoa_SRP Metazoan signal recognition particle RNA